rnacentral:rRNA from 1 species
UACGAAGGGGGCUAGCGUUGCUCGGAAUUACUGGGCGUAAAGGGUGCGUAGGCGGUUCUUUAAGUCAGGGGUGAAAUCCUGGAGCUCAACUCCAGAACUGCCUUUGAUACUGAAGAUCUUGAGUUCGGGAGAGGUGAGUGGAACUGCGAGUGUAGAGGUGAAAUUCGUAGAUAUUCGCAAGAACACCAGUGGCGAAGGCGGCUCACUGGCCCGAUACUGACGCUGAGGCACGAAAGCGUGGGGAGCGAACAGG